rnacentral:rRNA from 1 species
CCUACGGGAGGCAGCAGUGAGGAAUAUUGGUCAAUGGCCGUAAGGCUGAACCAGCCAAGUAGCGUGAGGGAAGACUGCCCUAUGGGUUGUAAACCUCUUUUAUGCGGGGAUCAAGGUGUCCACGUGUGGAUGUUUGCAGGUACCGCAUGAAUAAGGACCGGCUAAUUCCGUGCCAGCAGCCGCGGUAAUACGGAAGGUCCGGGCGUUCUCCGGAGUUAUUGGGUUUACAGUGAGCGUAGGCGGAAUAUCAAGACAUCGGUAAAAAUUCGGGGCUCAACCCCGUCGUGCCGUUGAAACUGAUGUUGCUGAGUGGGCGAGAAGUAUGCGGAAUGCGUGGUGUAGCGGUGAAAGGCAUAGAUAUCACGCAGAACUCCGAUUGCGAAGGCAGCAUACCGGCGCCCAACUGACGCUGAAGCACGAAAGCGUGGGUAUCGAACAGGAUUAGAUACCCCAGUAGUC